AUGAAUCACACUGAAAAGUCCCACGGCCAAGACUUAGAUGGGUCCUUUCUUAAGUCUCUCCUGUUAUGGCCCCUGUUCCCUCUUGCCCUUACCCCCAGGGAAUUUUGUAUUAGGCUCAACUUUCUCUUGCAGGAGUUAAAGCACUCCACAUGUUGUCGAGCCUUGGAACUGAUACUUGGGGAGAAGAACGACAAAUAUCAGGAGGACUGGUGAUGGCCCCAGAUGCAGUGGAUGAUCUUGGCGUCUUCAGUGUCUCACAAAUCUUUCAGCACUUCAGCCACCUUCACAGUCAUUGGCACAUGGCUGUCUCCUCACCUGCCCUUUCUAUCUAAGGAAGUCUUCACAUGGCUGCGGCAGUCAGCCCUAUGAACUAACUAAUGGGUUUGAGGCUGUAAGAAUUUUAAAAAAAUCUGGGCCAUCAUCCUGAGUUGAAGAUCCAUCUUUAAUUGUGGAAAAUUAAAGCUGGAGUUCUCACCAUGUCCAGUCUGUGGCAAAGACCUCAUUUAGAUGUCCCACAGUCAGUUUAAUAGACUUUUGACAGUCAAUUAACAUAAUUGAUCCAUAAAACCAAAUGUACACAACAUGUUACUAAAAUUUAGGAAAUAUUUGCUAAAAGAGUUAAUAAAUUCCAAUAAAUGAUUUAAGACA
rnacentral:lncRNA from 1 species